AACGUUUGACAUUGCCGUUAUACUAAAGGUGUAGAAUCACAUGAACUGUUCAACUGAGGAUGUAGGAAAUUUUACCAGAGGUGGCCAGCACCAUGAGGAGAUGAUUUAGGCAAAAAAAUACUUUUUGU